rnacentral:rRNA from 1 species
UAUACGACCGUACCGCAAACCGACACUGGUGCGCGAGAUGAGUAUUCUAAGGCGCUUGAGAGAACUCAGGAGAAGGAACUCGGCAAAUUGACACCGUAACUUCGGAAGAAGGUGUGCCCUAUUAGUGUGUAGUGAACAACGAAGCAUGAAUGGGUUGCAAAAAAUCGGUGGCUGCGACUGUUUAUUAAAAACACAGCACUCUGCAAACACGAAAGUGGACGUAUAGGGUGUGACGCCUGCCCGGUGCUGGAAGAUUAAAUGAUGGGGUGCAAGCUCUUGAUUGAAGUCCCAGUAAACGGCGGCCGUAACUAUAACGGUCCUAAGGUAGCGAAAUUCCUUGUCGGGUAAGUUCCGACCUGCACGAAUGGCGUAACGAUGGCCACACUGUCUCCUCCUGAGACUCAGCGAAGUUGAAAUGUUUGUGAUGAUGCAAUCUCCCCGCGGAAAGACGGAAAGACCCCAUGAACCUUUACUGUAGCUUUGUAUUGGACUUUGAACAGAUCUGUGUAGGAUAGGUGGGAGGCUUUGAAGCAGGGUCGCUAGAUCUUGUGGAGCCAACGUUGAAAUACCACCCUGGUGUGUUUGAGGUUCUAACCUAGGUCCAUUAUCUGGAUCGGGGACAGUGCAUGGUAGGCAGUUUGACUGGGGCGGUCUCCUCCCAAAGCGUAACGGAGGAGUUCGAAGGUACGCUAGUUACGGUCGGACAUCGUGACGAUAGUGCAAUGGCAUAAGCGUGCUUAACUGCGAGACUGACAAGUCGAGCAGAUGCGAAAGCAGGACAUAGUGAUCCGGUGGUUCUGUAUGGAAGGGCCAUCGCUCAACGGAUAAAAGGUACUCUGGGGAUAACAGGCUGAUACCGCCCAAGAGUUCAUAUCGACGGCGGUGUUUGGCACCUCGAUGUCGGCUCAUCUCAUCCUGGGGCUGUAGCCGGUCCCAAGGGUAUGGCUGUUCGCCAUUUAAAGAGGUACGUGAGCUGGGUUUAAAACGUCGUGAGACAGUUUGGUCCCUAUCUUCCGUGGGCGCUGCAGAUUUGAGGAAGCCUGCUCCUAGUACGAGAGGACCGGAGUGGACACACCUCUGGUGUAUCGGUUGUCACGCCAGUGGCAUUGCCGAGUAGCUAAGUGUGGAAGAGAUAACCGCUGAAAGCAUCUAAGCGGGAAACUCGUUUCAAGAUGAGAUCUGCCGGGGCCUUGAGCCCCCUAAAGAGUCGUUCAAGACCAGGACGUUGAUAGGUCAGGUGUGGAAGUAA